GUAACUGCAUGCUUCAUUAUAUUAUUAUGAAUUAUAUUAUUAUUAUCAUUAUUUGGAAUGAUCACUUUCUUAGAUGUUUUCCUUUAAAAAAACACAAAAAAUGAAUCUUUCGUAUAUAUCCACUUAACAAAUGAGUAAAAUACAAAUCAGUGCAAAUCACGACCAUCCUGUCUCCACUUCAGACAUCUGCAGUGUAUCAUGCCUUUGCAGUAUUCUACGCUUGUUGUCAACAAUAUUCAACAGGGAAAACAUCUAAGACAGUGAUCAUUCCAAAGAAGUGGAAACCCUAGAUAUAUUAAAAAGUAAAACGAAAUCCUGUCUCAGACUGCAGCACUGUUAAGCCUAAGGGACAUUGUGCAAGGUGAAGAUAGCCAGUCACAGAAAGACAAAUACUGUAUAAUUCUACUUAUUAAAUGAGAUAUCUAGAGUGGUUGAGUUCAUGUAAUCAAAGAGUGAAAUGGUGGUUGCUAGGGUUUGAGGGGAGAGGAAAAAGGGAAGUUGUUUUUUAGUGGAUAUAUGAUGGAUAUACAAUAAUGACAAGAAUGUAAACUAGUAAAGUAAAAAACAAAGAUAAAUAGAAAACAACCAGGACAGAAAGUACAAUUCACUGAAGAAAAAAAAAAAAAAAAAAAGAUGGAAGGGAGA